AACAUCUUCAAACGAACAUCUUCGAAAAAGGCUCGGACCAAGAGAGCCUCAAAUCCUGAGGUUGUCCCCCCCACGUUCCCCUUUCGAGCGCGCGACCGCCUUGGAUUCUAACGGACUUAACGACUAAAACCGUUCAAAUGUUUUUUCUCCGCGGCCGAGCACACAGAAAAAAUCCCCACCGCCGCCGCCUCCUCCGCUCUCCUCUCAGUCGCCACUCCUCACUCCCUCUCUCAUUUCUUCUUCUUCCAAAACCCCACAAUUCUCUCUCUCUCUCUGAAAUCGCAGGGCGAGGACAGAGACGGCGGAAAUGGAGCCUCCAGGCGACUCGCCCGACCCGUUCGCCGAAUUCCCUCCGCUCGAGUUCUACCCCUUCGAGCCCCUCCCGAACCCCAGCCCCACCCCUCUCCCUCCCCGCCGCCUCCCGGUCCCCGUCCCCGCAAAACCCUAGCCCCGCCUCCGCCUCCGCGUACAAUCCCCUCCUCUCCUUCACCGUCCCCAAGAAGCGCAGGCGCGGCCGGUCGCAGCGCAACGUCGCCUCCCUUCAGCUCCCCCCCUUGCCGUCCGGUACUCCCGGUUCCUCCGCGUCGGCUUCGGGUAAGCCUGCUCCUGGGAACCCUAGCUCCGCCCCCGAUGCCUCUGACGAGAUCAUCGUGAUCAAUCGGGAGUCCACGGGGGAGGCCUUGAUCGCGCUCACGGCUGGGUUCCCGGCCGACUCGCUCACUGAUGAAGAGAUCGAUUUUGGCGUCGUGCCGAUGGUCGGCGGGAUCGAGCAGGUUAAUUAUAUCUUGAUUAGGAACCACAUCAUUGCGAAAUGGCGUGAGAACGUGUCCAAUUGGGUUACCAAGGAGAUGUUCGCGGAUGUUAUUCCUAAACAGUGCGCUUCUCUACUGGACUCUGCUUAUGAUUACUUGGUUUCUCAUGGGUAUAUUAAUUUUGGGGUUGCGCCCGUAAUCAAAGAGAAGAUUCCAGCGGAGCCAAGCAGGCACAGCGUGAUUAUUGUCGGCGCCGGGCUUGCAGGAUUGGCUGCAGCACGGCAUUUGAUGCGGGUAGGUUUUAAGGUGACAGUUUUGGAGGGUAGGAAGAGGGCAGGUGGGAGGGUUUAUACAAAGAAGAUGGAGGGUGGGAACAAGUUAUCUGCUGCUGCCGAUCUAGGGGGAAGUGUAUUGACUGGGACAUUGGGGAACCCCCUUGGGAUUGUUGCUCGGCAGCUAGGGCAUCCACUUCACAAGGUGAGGGACAAGUGCCCUCUUUACAGGGUGGAUGGGAAGCCGGUUGACCCUGACAUCGACAUGAAGGUUGAGACUGCUUUUAAUCGUCUCUUGGAUAAGGCUAGUAGGCUUAGGCAGUCAAUGGGAGAGGUGUCCAUGGAUGUUUCGCUUGGAUCUGCCCUGGAAACAUUUAGGCCGGUUUAUGGGGAUGCUGAAAAUGCUGAGGAAAUGAACUUGUUCAAUUGGCAUCUUGCCAAUUUGGAAUAUGCUAAUGCAGGUUUGCUCUCAAAGCUUUCCCUUGCAUUUUGGGACCAGGAUGAUCCUUAUGAUAUGGGAGGUGAUCAUUGUUUUCUGCAUGGAGGGAAUGGAAGACUGGUUCAGGCUUUGGCUGAGAAUGUACCAAUUUUGUACGAGAGAACUGUACAUACUAUCAGAUAUGGCAAUGAUGGUGUGCAAGUCAUGGCAGGUAGCCAGGUUUUUGAGGGUGAUAUGGCUCUUUGUACUGUUCCUCUUGGUGUUCUGAAAAGUGGGUCUAUCAAGUUUAUUCCUGAGUUGCCUCAGAGAAAGCUUGAUGGGAUAAAGAGGCUGGGAUUUGGCCUGCUAAAUAAGGUUGCAAUGCUUUUUCCUCAUGUGUUUUGGGGCACAGAUCUUGACACCUUUGGACACCUAAAAGAUGAUCCAAGCCGCCGCGGGGAGUUCUUUUUGUUUUAUAGCUAUGCAACAGUUGCUGGUGGUCCUCUCUUGAUUGCAUUAGUAGCUGGGGAAGCUGCACAUAAGUUUGAGAGCAUGUCUCCUACUGAUGCGGUGACGCGGGUUCUUCAAAUUCUCAAGGGUAUCUAUGAACCGCAGGGGAUUAAGGUACCAGAUCCUGUCCAAACUGUCUGCACCAGGUGGGGUGGUGAUCCACUUAGCCUAGGUUCCUACUCUAAUGUGGCGGUAGGGGCCUCUGGAGAUGACUAUGAUAUUUUAGCUGAAAGUGUGGGAGAUGGAAGGCUCUUCUUUGCUGGGGAGGCAACUACCAGAAGGUAUCCUGCAACUAUGCACGGGGCCUUUCUGACUGGGCUGAGAGAAGCUGCUAAUAUGGUUCAUCAUGCUAAUGCUCGUGCUUCAAAGAAAAAGAUUGACCAAACUCCAUCAAAGAAUGCCCAUUCCUGUGCUUCCAUUCUAGCUGACUUAUUCAGGGAACCUGAUUUGGAAUUUGGAAGCUUUGCUGUCAUUUAUGAGAAGAACUCUGAUCCCAGCUCUGGUGCAAUUUUGAGAGUGACUUUUAGUGAGCCUCGUAAAAAAGCUCAUGAUGGUCUGAAGUCAGACCAGCAUUCCAAUAAAGUACUAUUUCAACAGCUUCAAUCACAUUUUAAUCAGCAACAACAACUUCACAUUUACACCAUGUUGUCAAAGCAACAGGCUCUUGAGCUGAGAGAAGUGAGAGGAGGUGAUGAGAUGAGGUUUUAUCAUCUUUCUGAAAAGCUUGGGAUAAAACUGGUAGGGAGGAAAGGUUUAGGACCUGCUGCUGAUUCUGUGAUCGCUUCCAUUAAAGCUGAAAGGGGCAAGCGCAAACCUGCUUCAGUUUCUUUGGCUACUAAAUCAGGUACAUUGAUGAAUAAAAGAGGUGCUCCAAAGCAAAAAGUUAUCAGAAAAGCUAAAAUAGUGGGCAAAAGUGGAGGUCAGGGAGCUCUUCCUGGUUUAAAUGCCGAAAGCAGUAAGGUGACACAUGAUAUUGGGAGCACAAAUCAAGCCGCUCCUCAAGCCACUCCUGGCCCAUCUGAGACAGGGCAAGUUCAUGACAACAUAACGAAGCAAUUAGAAGAAAGCGUACACCUCACAGAUAGUUGAAUGUUCAGAUUAUAAUAUUCCUAGCAUAAGGGCUGAGCCUGCAGCUUCCUGUCAAGAAGUUAACAUACAUUGAUGACCAGUUAAUUUGUGAUUUUGGGGCAGGUUGUGCUUUGCAUCUAUAUGGCCUUGCUUUUGUUGCUGGUGUCCCUUGAGCUGUGCAAUGUUGGUUUUUGUUGGUUAAUCAUCAUGGAUCACCAACAUUUGCAUGACUGAUGGAAGCUCCAAAUGGAUUGGGGCUAGGCUUUGUGAACUAGCAGAUGAAAAAGUGUUACAAAACUCAUUCUGAAGCAACAGCUUGUGAACCAGUUUCCUCCCUUCCACCGCCCUGCUAAGAAAAUGUCUUCAUGAAGGCCUGUAUAUCCUUGUCGUACUGGGAAUAUUCAAAUGUGGCACCUCUUAUUGCCGCUGAUAGUACUGACCGCUGCCAAUCAUGCGAUGGAGUGAGAUUACCCUUUACUACCUCAAGGAAGCAGGACUUAGUUUUUUUUUAUUGUAUUUUUGUUGAGGCUGUCACAAUCGUGCUCGUUUUUGGAAGAAGUAAAGGCAUAUGAACAAAGAAAUUUCGAUGCUUCCAAAGUGUUCAUUGGUGAAAUUCAGCUAUACAACUGAAAGGUUCAAAUAUUCCUCUAGGCAUACCAGAAAGGAGACUCCCUUUUCUUUUAUGAAGCACCAGAUACAAAUGUAAAUACAUCAGAUACUUGUUCAAUUUUAGGCAGAUGCCAGUUUGGAAAUUAUUACGGAAUUCGCAUCAGUUUUAUGUGGAA